UAGUCCACGCCGUAAACGAUGUCAACUAGCCGUUGGGAGCAUUUAAGCUCUGAGUGGCGCAGCUAACGCGAUAAGUUGACCGCCUGGGGAGUACGCCGGCAACGGUAAAACUCAAAGGAAUCGACGGGGGCCCGCACAAGCGGUGGAGCAUGUGGUUUAAUUCGAUGAUACGCGAGGAACCUUACCAGGGCUUAAAUGCAGAACGACAGAUCCGGAAACGGAUUUUUCUUCGGACGGACUGCAAGGUGCUGCAUGGUUGUCGUCAGCUCGUGCCGUGAGGUGUUGGGUUAAGUCCCGUAACGAGCGCAACCCCCAUUCUUAGUUGCCAGCGGAUAAUGCCGGGGACUCUAAGGAAACUGCCAGCGCAAGCUGUGAGGAAGGUGGGGAUGACGUCAAAUCAUCACGGGCCCUUACGUCCUGGGGCUACACACGUGCUACAAUGGGUGUAUACAGAGAGCAAUGCUGCAUGGGCGACAUGUGGGCGAAUCUACAAAGU
rnacentral:rRNA from 1 species